AUAUAGAGUAAUUAGUUGAUUUGAUACCUUGGAGACUGGAGAGUAAAGGGGAGACUAUCAAAGCCCAAUUGAAUUCUGACUUUGCAAUUAAGUGAGGUGGUCCUUAGAUUACCUCUUCUAAUGGGAUUGUGUAUGAGUGGGAUAAUGAGACACUUGGUCCAGCUACAUAUUAUGUGAUUGACACAAACAGGUGGGCUGUUAGCAAUGUUGGAUAUUUUAGUUGGACCAAUGAUGCUAAGUAUACAAGGCUUUCAUUAUCUCAAUUCACGAAUACUUUAGACUCAGAGCUGUUCCAAACAGCUCGACUCUCAGCUUCAUCAUUAAGAUACUAUGGCUUAGGGCUCGAGAAUGGAAACUACACUGUGAGCCUCCAGUUUGUAGAAACAGCUUUUGAUAACUCUAACACAUGGAAAAGUCUUGGGAGGCGUGUCUUUGAUAUUUAUAUACAGGGGAAUCUUGUUUUAAAGGAUUUUGACAUACGAAAGGAUGCUGGUGGUGCAUCUUUCGUAGCUGUUCAGAAGGAAUAUAAAGCGGUUCAGGUAUCAGAAAACUACCUUGAAAUCCAUCUCUAUUGGGCUGGAAAAGGGACUUGCUGCGUACCUGCUCAAGGUACUCUCGGGCCUUCUAUUUCAGCCAUCAGUGCUACCCCAGAAUUUACACCCACUGUUAGUAAUAGACCUCCUAGCAGCAGCAAGAAUAAGACUGGUCUGGUUGUGGGUCUCGUUGUUGGUGUUGGAGUUUUGAGCUUUCUGGCUGUUUUCGUAUUUUUCUAUAUUGUUCGAAGGAG